GCGCGUGUAGCUCAAUUGGAUAGAGCGCCAAACUACGGAUUUGGAAGCUAGGAGUUCGAGUCUCUUCAAGCGUA
rnacentral:tRNA from 1 species